AUGAAGCGGACGUAAGAAGUUGUAGUCAACCAUACAGCCGGCCUUCAAAAACGUAAAAACUCCAAACAGUUUAGUCAGCUUUAACAGAUCCAAAUAUGAAAAAUACGCAACAGUUCAUUUGCAAAAAAAAUAACGACAUGAUUUGGUACAUCACAAUUUACAAAAACAUAUAUGACAAACUAGAACCACUGAGCUACAAGCGUCCACAUAAUUUAUUUGUUAAUUGAAGUUUGCUAAAGG
rnacentral:lncRNA from 1 species